rnacentral:tRNA from 3 species
UGGGUGAUUAGCUCAGCUGGGAGAGCACCUCCCUUACAAGGAGGGGGUCG